AGUAACGGCGAGUGAAGCGGCAACAGCUCAAAUUUGAAAUCUGGUCCCCAGGGCCCGAGUUGUAAUUUGUAGAGGAUGCUUUUGGCAAGGUGCCUUCCGAGUUCCCUGGAACGGGACGCCAUAGAGGGUGAGAGCCCCGUCUGGUCGGACACCGAGCCUCUGUAAAGCUCCUUCGACGAGUCGAGUAGUUUGGGAAUGCUGCUCAAAAUGGGAGGUAUAUGUCUUCUAAAGCUAAAUAUAGGCCAGAGACCGAUAGCGCACAAGUAGAGUGAUCGAAAGAUGAAAAGCACUUUGAAAAGAGGGUUAAAAAGUACGUGAAAUUGUUGAAAGGGAAGCGCCUAUGACCAGACUUGAGCCCGGUGAAUCAUCCAGCGUUCUCGCUGGUGCACUUUGCCGGGCACAGGCCAGCAUCAGUUUGGCGCGGGGGAUAAAGGCUUUGGGAAUGUGGCUCCCUCGGGAGUGUUAUAGCCCAUUGCGCAAUACCCUGCGCCGGACUGAGGUACGCGCAUUCGCAAGGAUGCUGGCGUAAUGGUCAUCAGCGACCCGUCUUGAAACACGGACCAAGGAGUCGUCUUCGUAUGCGAGUGUUCGGGUGUUAAACCCCUACGCGUAAUGAAAGUGAACGCAGGUGAGAGCUUCGGCGCAUCAUCGACCGAUCCUGAUGUUCU
rnacentral:rRNA from 2 species